rnacentral:lncRNA from 1 species
AGAUGUGAGAGGAAGCAACCUCACAGAAAUAGAGUUUCAUUAACAAAUUGGCAAAAGUCCUUUUACAAAGAAAUGAGUAAACUAUUUAUAGACUAACAUGUAGUAGCCAAUUGGACACAUUGACUAACUUAAGGGCUAAGUAUCUUAGCUAUGAAUGCAUUAGAAUAAUCUAGAACAAGUCUUUAAUUUGCUAGGGCUAGAUUCGAC